CCUACGGGAGGCAGCAGUGGGGAAUUUUGGACAAUGGGGGCAACCCUGAUCCAGCCAUGCCGCGUGAGUGAAGAAGGCCUUCGGGUUGUAAAGCUCUUUCGCAGGGGAAGAAACAGCAAGAGAUAAUACCUCUUGCGAAUGACGGUACCCUGAGAAGAAGCACCGGCCAACUACGUGCCAGCAGCCGCGGUAAUACGUAGGGUGCAAGCGUUAGUCGGAAUUACUGGGCGUAAAGAGUGCGUAGGCGGUUAUUCAAGUCAGGUGUGAAAUCCCCGGGCUCAACCUGGGAACUGCGCUUGAAACUGGAUAACUAGAGUUUAGCAGAGGGGGGUGGAAUUCCACGUGUAGCAGUGAAAUGCGUAGAGAUGUGGAGGAACACCGAUGGCGAAGGCAGCCCCCUGGGCUAAAACUGACGCUCAGGCACGAAAGCGUGGGGAGCAAACAGGAUUAGAUACCCUGGUAGUCCACGCCCUAAACGAUGUACAACUAGUUGUACGGGAAGUGACUUCUUUAGGUAACNCAGCUAACGCGUGAAGUUCGACCGCCGUCGGAGGUACGGUCGGACGAGAAGUUAAAACGUUAAAGUAAGUAAGUUAGUACGACGUAGAGACGUAGACGAACGACGACGACGAGGGAGAGG
rnacentral:rRNA from 1 species